rnacentral:tRNA from 1 species
GUCGGCGUAGCUCAGUUGGUUAGAGCGUAGCACUCAUAAAGCUAAGGUCGGAGGAUCGUUCCCUCCCGCCGACAC